rnacentral:lncRNA from 1 species
GUUCAUUAUACUAACCUACCAAGAGAAAAGGCUAGCAAAACAUUAGUUUAGGCUCCCAAUGUAUGCAAGAGAAAAGAAGACAAAGGUGGUAUAUUUUUAUGGGGCUAACUAUGAAUUAAAUUUUUAGUUGGGACUCUUUGUCAUAAUAGAUAUUUUUAUAAAGAUGCUACUAUAUUUAUCCAGAAAAUUUUUGCAACAUGGAUAUAAAUUUGGCACCC